GCAGCAACGUGGAGGCGGUGGCGGAGAUAAUUAUAAUUGUUGGCGCGGGACAGGAGGCCAGUGUGGAGGGCGUGUACAGAGGCAGACGGCACUAGUGGUUAAGCUGUGCGCGUUCAGAUUGUUGGCGAGUCGAUGAGGAUAGUAUGGAGGCCUUCAGUGUCGUUAGAGAGAAGGUGCUUCGCCUCGUGUCUCGUGUUCAUGGAGUGGGUCGGUGGUGGCGAGGGUGGCGGGUGGUGGGCAUGCGCGAUCACGGCUGUGAGCUGAGAGCCUCUCAGAGUAUAGGCGACUGGAGUCCCUAAGCCAUGAAGUGAAUGGCGUGUGGCGGUGUGGUGAAGCGUGGCGUGUCCCUCGUUCUGGUGCUGAGCGCGGUACUUGGUUUUGACUUACUGCCUAAACACGGGCUUACUGAUGGCUGUGACACGCACCAAGGGCGAUAAUGGCGAUGCGAGGAAGGAAAACCUGUGCUAAGUUCUGAGGUGCGGUGUUGUGAGUGAAUAAAAUUCGUUCCGUAAGCUGCGGCCGCCUGUCACUGAUGUUCUGCUGUUACGUUGUUGUUGCCGUGAUCCAGUUACACAGUGAAAGAGAUCGUCGUGAUCCCAGUGCAGUACUGUAAUGCCGUGCUGCCGGGAGUGUUGCCGUGCUGCCUUGCUGCCAGGAAGUGCUGUCGUGUGCUGGGAAGUGUUGCCGCGCUGCCGGCAGGAGUAAGAGGACCUGCUGGUGGACUACAGGCUGAACACAAGCACUGACAAGCAGUACAGGGCAUUUCAUGAUGGCUUCUGCAAGGUGUGGGACGGUAUUGUGCUCAAACUUUUCCAGCCAGUGGAACUUAUGGACUUGGUCACCGGCAAUGAAAAUUAUUUCUGGACCGAGUUGGAAAAGAAUGCUGAAUAUAAGAUUAAGUUAGUUAAGGGUGAGUACUUCCCAGACCAUCCAGUCACUCGCACGUGUUGGGAAGUCUUUCGCGAGCUCUCGCUGGAACAGAAAAUAAUUUCAAGUUUCUGACGGGGACUCACCAGGUUCUUCUACUAGGCAUGUGUGAGAGAGAGAGAGAGAGAGAGAGAGAGAGAGAGAGAGAGAGAGAGAGAGAGAGAGAGAGAGAGAGAGAGAGAGAGAGAGAGAGAGAGAGAGAGAGAGAGAGAGAGAGAGAGAAAAUUUGUGAUAGGCUGUAGGGAGUGACUGUGGGUUCGUCAACGUACUGUGGGGACAUACUGUGGGGUUGUGGGUCUGUGUGAGAGAGAGAGAGAGAGAGAGAGAGAGAGAGAGAGAGAGAGAGAGAGAGAGAGAGAGAGAGAGAGAGAGAGAGAGAGAGAGAGAGAGAGAGAGGAAGUGUGUGUGUGUGUGUGUGUGUGUGUGUUGCAAGGAUAAAACCUUAGAAUGUUCCUGUUAAGUGUUAUUACUACUACUACUAUUGUUGCUGCUACUUACAACUGCUACCUACUACUGCUACCUCCACCACCACAACCACUAUAUACCAUGACAACUACUACUAUUACUGCCACCACCACCACCACCACUUCUACUAUUACUACUGUGAACAGCCCGGAGGAGGAAGUCUCUAAAAAAAAAUAUAUAAAUAAUAUACAAAUGAAUGGAAAAUAUUCAUAAUAAUAUUCCCUUAUUAUUAUUAUUAUUAUUAUUAUUAUUAUUAUUAUUAUUAUUAUUAUUAUUAUUAUUAUUAUUUAAUUUGCGUAUAUUUUUAAUCUUGUAACAAGAAAACGAAAAAUAAUAAAGAAAUAAAUUAACUUGUAUUAUCAUCACUAUCAAAAUAUAUACACUAUUAUUAAUAUAUUAUUAAUAUAUUUAUGGACCAAUUUCUAGAUUCUAUUUUUAGCUUAUAUAUAAUAAUUUAAUGCAAUUAAAAAAAAUACUUUUCAUACCUCCACAAUGAAUCAUAUUAUCAUUUCUGUUGAUUUUUUUGGGUCAUUCAGGAGUGGAUGGCAGAAGUUGGUGAAUACUACUACCUAGCUAAGCGUACGUUGGACCAGUAUGCUUGAACACCUUUGCACUAGAGACAGUAUUCAGAAACCCUCCAAUCUUUCACUCCACUCUUUCUACUUUCAAAGGCCACAGAGAUGAUUAGCCCGGUUCUCAAGAGUGUUUCUCCUGUUGAUAAUGUAGAAAUCCUAGUAGUAAUCUGCCACUACAACCAUAAAAAGGAAAUACACCCAUACAGGCAUACAGGGCCGUAGAACUUCAAUUACACCCUUCUGAAUGUAGUGGAGGUGCGGCCAGAAAUGUUUCAGAGCAUAGACGUAGUAAAGCUUCAUUGUGGUUGUGUGCAGUGUGUCACCUGGGAGCUUAUGCCCUCUCUCUCUCUCUGUGUGUGUGUGUGUAAGAACAAACCUGAGAACUGCUAAAUAGAAUGAAACUGAUAGAGAAUGGAUAUGGAAUUAUACGAGAGUGAGAGAGUGGGAAAGGACGAAGCGAAAAUAACAUAGAAUGAAGGAGAGAGAGAGAGAGAGAGAGAGAGAGAGAGAGAGAGAGAGAGAGAGAGAGAGAGAGAGAGAGAGACCAACACACACACAGUGUGUGCUUCAGCCACCUGCGUCGCCCACCAGGUCAGUCAACGAACGACCUUGGUUCAGUAAUGAGUCACCACUGCAGACGAUAGUGUACAUUUGGUAUUUAUCGUAUCAUAAGCCUCACCCACAGCACACCAGUAAAUCAAACGAGUAGCAAGUAAUACAUUCACUCACGUGGAUGACAGUAGUUGCCUGACUGACGGCGUGAGUGGCGUCACUUGAACCUGAACCGAUGUUUGUGAUCCAGUUGGAGGACUGCAGUCGAAUUGGACCACAAGAUUUGUUCGCCAAUCCUGGUCAAAUUAUUAGAAUAGAAGGACGAUCGAAUCACAAGGCGUGCACCACACCUGCCAGAGAAGGAUGUCCCAAGGCUGCCUCCCAAUGUCACCUUUUCCUGUCUCCGUCGCUCCAUCUUAGCAUACCUCACUUGCUCAUCCAACUGCUGCCUGCAAGGUGGAGAAUGUUUACACCUGGAAACGUUGCAAUAAAUGAAGAAGGAGAAUGUUUACACCUGGAAACGUUGCAAUAAAUGAAGAAGGAAG